rnacentral:rRNA from 1 species
GUCGCAAGACCAAAGUGGGGGACCUUCGGGCCUCAUGCCAUCAGAUGUGCCCAGAUGGGAUUAGCUAGUAGGUGGGGUAAUGGCUCACCUAGGCGACGAUCCCUAGCUGGUCUGAGAGGAUGACCAGCCACACUGGAACUGAGACACGGUCCAGACUCCUACGGGAGGCAGCAGUGGGGAAUAUUGCACAAUGGGCGCAAGCCUGAUG